AACGUUGUAUUGAAACAAAAAGAUGGAUGAUUUAAACAUUUUUAAAUAUCGACUAGUGUAAACACUCGUUUGAUUCAUAUUUAUGCUAGGGAUUUUUUAGAAUAUGUCCAUGGUGAAGAUGUGAUUGGUUACUAUGAAAUUGGACUAGAGGUUAAGAUUAUAAAGGUUAUCUUUGUAUAAUAUGCGGCGCCGACUAGAUGACCUGUAGGUACGAAUGCCGCUUAUAGAUGGCGACCACAUGACGAUCGGCACCCCAUAUAUCAGGCUGUAGUCAAUAAUAUAUUUUUUCUUUACCGGCAGAAAUUUUCUGUUGCUUUUAUUGAUAUAUUGGAUUAAUCGACGAAAGCUUGAUGUUGUACAAAGACCGCUAAUCUUACAUUCCAUCGAAGAGAAGUCGGUUUGGUAUAAAAUCAUAUGUGCUCUGUAAUUGUAAAACAAGCUACGUGCAAGACCUUAUAAUUUAUAGCGGAAGCUCAACAAUUUUAGAAAGUGCAAUCACGGGGAUUGGAAAAUCGGGAGCAAUAGUCUUGUCCCUUUUGAAACCAUACUUAGGAAAAGGUCACACAGUUUAUCUAGAUAACUUUUAUUCGAGUCCAGCAUUAUUUAACUUUUUACAUAAUAAUUAUACCAAUGUAUGCGGGACCGUGAAUAAAAGACGGCAAGGAAUGCCGAAGUUUGAAGAGCAUUUGAAAAAAGGAGAGGCAUGUUUUCGUACAUCAAAUACUUUGUUAGCGAUGAAAUGGAUAGACAAAAAAGAAGUUUAUAUGAUUGCGAGUAUGCAUACUGCAGAUUUUGCAGCGGUAUCUAGGUAUGGAGAACAACAGAGUGUGCAGAAACCUGUGUGUGUUAUAAGUUAUAAUAAGUCAAUGGGCAUAAUAGACAAAGUUGAUAUGGUUCUAAGCACUGUUAAUUCAACGCAUAAAUUGUUGAAGUAGUACCGUAAAUUUUUCUUCCACGUCAUAGACAUUUGUGUGUGGAAUGCAUAUUAUGUUUGUAAGUACAAUUGACGAGAAACCAUUUCCAUGGCAAAAUUUCAGUUAGGAUUAAUAAAACAAAUAAUUGCAAAGUAUCUGCACAAUGUAGUUCAGCGUCAAAGCAGACUCAUUGACAAUCCAAAGAGGUUAACAGAGAGACAUUUUCCCUUAUUCUAUGAGCCAAAAAAUAAAAACCGAAAACGAAGAUGUGUCAUUUAUAGAAAAAAUGAUAAAAGAUCCGAAUCACAAUAUGAGUGUAAAGAUUGCAAUGUUGGCUUAUGUAUAGACCCUUGUUUCAAAAUAUAUCAUUCAGAAUUAUGUUACUAAUCUUUACAUAUUAAUAUAUUAACUAAUUUACUUUUCAUAAUUAAUUAUAUUAAACAUUUUAUCAUAAAGUCUUGUAAAUAUGUAAAUAUGCAAUAUAUUACCUGUAAUUUUGUAAGCCUUUUCAUAUUAAAGAUGUAAAUUAUACUUAUCA